UACGGGGGAGCAAGCGUUGUUCGGAUUUACUGGGCGUAAAGGGUGCGUAGGCGGCGCGGUAAGUCGGGUGUGAAAUCUUGGAGCUUAACUCCGAAACUGCAUUCGAUACUGCCGUGCUUGAGGACUGGAGAGGAGACUGGAAUUUACGGUGUAGCGGUGAAAUGCGUAGAUAUCGUAAGGAAGACCAGUGGCGAAGGCGGGUCUCUGGACAGUUCCUGACGCUGAAGCACGAAGGCCAGGGGAGCAAACGGG
rnacentral:rRNA from 1 species